rnacentral:rRNA from 1 species
UGGCGGACGGGUGAGUAUCGCGUAGGGAUUUAUCGUUGGGUGGGGGAUAACCGCGGGAAACUGCGGCUAAUACCGCAUGACGCCUGUGGGCCAAAGCCAGCAAUGGUGCCUGAUGAGGAGCCUGCGUUCGAUUAGCUAGUUGGUUGGGUAAUGGCUGACCAAGGCGAUGAUCGAUAGCUGGUCUGAGAGGAUGAUCAGCCACACUGGGACUGAGACACGGCCCAGACUCCUACGGGAGGCAGCAGUGGGGAAUAUUGGACAAUGGGCGCAAGCCUGAUCCAGCAAUGCCGCGUGGAUGAAGAAGGUCUUCGGAUUGUAAAGUCCUUUCGGCGGGGACGAUGAUGACGGUACCCGCAGAAGAAGCCCCGGCUAACUUCGUGCCAGCAGCCGCGGUAAUACGUAGGGUGCGAGCGUUAAUCGGAAUUACUGGGCGUAAAGCGUGCGCAGGCGGUUCGUUAAGACAGAUGUGAAAUCCCCGGGCUUAACCUGGGAACUGCAUUUGUGAC